AAGCUAUUGCCUGCUCUGAGUUCCCUCUGCUCAAGGGAAAAGCACUACCCUUGGCAGGAAUUCCCCUUCCUAAAGAGACCGCCAUGUCCAUACUCUGCUCUCUGCUUCAGGCCUGGGUCUUCUCAAAUGUGUUUCAAUUUCUGCUUCAUAACCAAGGAAGAAACCUUACAAAGAUUUAAGACUUUAUCACAAAAUAUGCUCUCACAUGCUGCAACCAAAUAAUUGGACACUGUUUCUUUCAUAAGAGUGUUUUUUCUUCUCUCUGUGAAUAAUCACCUGCCAAUACUGCCCUUUGAAUUCCAGCUUCUGCAUUGGAAUAGCUGUAUUAACACCUGCUGGAGACAACCUGCUAGUCCUUGGCAGGCAGUGUAAUUUAAGAAGAAUCAAAAAAUACCAAGAAAAAAGAGAUCAUAAAAUUAUAAGCAGGCUGGAGAAUUCUGCCUCCUAAAAUGCUACUGCACCCAUGUUAACAAGCAAUUCAGAGGACUGAAGCUUUAAGAAUUUUUUGAAAAGCUAUGAGGAUUAAGCUUCAGGAAAGAAACCGACUCAGAUACCAGAAUGGCAAACCGUCUCAUGGCUGGUGUGUAUGGAAGAAUCGCUCCAGUGAACGUCUGUCUGCUGAGAAAGCAUCAGGGCACCUAUUGAAAGAACACAGUGGGCUUGUCAGCACAGCAGCUUUUCAGAGAGAACCACAAACACCCCGAAACAGCAG
rnacentral:lncRNA from 1 species